GGGUCAGUAGGUUGGUCGUGCCACCGGUACGUACUGGUCUCACUGAUUCCUCCUUCCUGAAUAACCGUAAUGCCAUUAUUUUGGUGUUGCGGGGAAACAGGACUGUUACUUUGAAAAAAUUAGAGUGUUUAAUGCAAGCUAACGCUUGAAUACAUUAGCAUGGAAUAAUGAAAUAGGACGAUCGAUCCUAUUUUGUUGGUUUCUAGGAUUGACGUA
rnacentral:rRNA from 1 species